CAGCCGCCGCGGUAAUACGUAGGGUGCGAGCGUUGUCCGGAAUUACUGGGCGUAAAGAGCUCGUAGGUGGUUUGUCACGUCGUCUGUGAAAUUCCGGGGCUUAACCUCGGGCGUGCAGGCGAUACGGGCAAUACUUGAGUGCUGUAGGGGAGACUGGAAUUCCUGGUGUAGCGGUGAAAUGCGCAGAUAUCAGGAGGAACACCAAUGGCGAAGGCAGGUCUCUGGGCAGUUACUGACGCUGAGGAGCGAAAGCAUGGGUAGCGAACAGGAUUAGAUACCCUGGUAGUCCAUGCCGUAAACGGUGGGCGCUAGGUGUAGGGGACUUCCACGUUCUCUGUGCCGUAGCUAACGCAUUAAGCGCCCCGCCUGGGGAGUACGGCCGCAAGGCUAAAACUCAAAGGAAUUGACGGGGGCCCGCACAAGCGGCGGAGCAUGUGGAUUAAUUCGAUGCAACGCGAAGAACCUUACCUGGGCUUGACAUACACCGGACCGGCGUAGAGAUACGUCUUCCCUUGUGGCCGGUGUACAGGUGGUGCAUGGCC
rnacentral:rRNA from 1 species